rnacentral:rRNA from 1 species
GAUGAACGCUAGCUACAGGCUUAACACAUGCAAGUCGCGGGGCAGCAUGGGGGUUGCUUGCAAUCCCCGAUGGCGACCGGCGCACGGGUGAGUAACGCGUAUCCAACCUGCCCUUCACCACGGGAUAACCCGGCGAAAGUCGGACUAAUACCGUAUGUUGUCCAUUGACGGCAUCCGAUUUGGACGAAAGGUUUGGCGGGGAAGGUUGGGGAUGCGUCUGAUUAGCUGGACGGCGGGGUGACGGCCCACCGUGGCGACGAUCGGUAGGGGUUCUGAGAGGAAGGUCCCCCACACUGGAACUGAGACACGGUCCAGACUCCUACGGGAGGCAGCAGUGAGGAAUAUUGGUCAAUGGGCGUAAGCCUGAACCAGCCAAGUAGCGUGCAGGAUGACGGCCCUAUGGGUUGUAAACUGCUUUUAUGCGGGGAUAAAGUGGCCCACGUGUGGGUUUUUGCAGGUACCGCAUGAAUAAGGACCGGCUAAUUCCGUG